rnacentral:piRNA from 1 species
UAGUCCCUGUUGGUUUUUCUCCAAAGUUC